ACCAGGCCUUGGCUUUUGCUACAGCAGGAGUGUAGGAGCCUUCUCUAUCCUGGUGCCAUCCUCAGAGACAUGAAAUCAGUCUUUCUGUACACAUACUUGGAUAGGAUUCAGAUCGGACCCUAAAUAUCUCGAAUGGCACUGAAGCUGAGCAUGAGCUCUGUCAAAAUUAAAACACUUAACCUGAAAAUGGAAGAGAAAGCAUGUGUGUAUAAAUGACAACUAUGAAAAUAUACCCAUCAACAAGCCAUUUUGCUUAUCUUCCUUUCCAGUUUUCAUUUACACGUCACCUGAUAUCUGCAAGGGACCAAUUUGCUGCUAGGAGCUGCAAGCACCACCUCAAGCCAAAGAACAAUAAUUAGGGAAUGCAAAAACCCUCCAAAGCAUGAGUUCACGUUCUUGCUGUGGCUGCAGUGUUUGUUCUGCAAGUGACUUGGAUAAUGGCUGUGCUGUCAAAUGCAGACUCUCAAGGUUGUCAUACCAGACCCAUCAUGCAGAGAGACUGGAAACUUCAACAGUUCAAGAGAAGUCUCAGUGUGAAAAUCUGAUUACUCCAACACACGCUUUGUGCAGUAAGUCUGAAGAGACUGAAAUGAUUGAGUAAGUUUUGGCUACUCAUAAAUUUUUCAGUUUCCAUAGCAGAGGAGGUGCGGGAAGUGAGCCAGAAAUGGGGAGCCAUGGACAGAAGGAACAAAAGCAGAACUAUUGAUGGGCAAUGCGGAGGUGUCAGUUUAUUCAUUUAUUUGUUUUUUCCUGUACCACUUCCUGGCUAGUUUGCAUUAGGCCCAGUAUGAGUUCAUGAAAUAUGAAUGAGCUUGCAACACUUUUCAGAUACGAGUAGUUCUUGCAUAUAAAAAAAAGAAAGGUAAAAUAUAGUAUUCAAUUAUGCAAGAAUAGGGAUAAAGUACAGAGUAGCUGACUUGAGGCAAAUAGACUAAGUGCUGCAGGAAGCAGGGGUGCUGUUGAUCUAUCUUCUAAUGAUUCUUUAUUAAGAACAGACAAGAUAUGCACUCUCCCUUUCUGGCUUCUGUUCAGUUAGAUGCCAUCAAUAGAGGAAAGCUAACGAAAGUGGUUUUGGGAUAGGCAUAUAUUAAGAGUGUGAUGGAGGCUGCAAAGAGACAGAAGUGCAGAUUCAGAAAGAGUACUGUGCUUACAUUUUCUGCAAUGAAAACAGCAUAGACUUGAAUGCUGUCAUUGCUAUUGAUUCUCAUUGACCUCACUGAGAAGUACAUGCAGUCAGAGACCUGGAGUUUGAUUUUAUAUGGCUAAACAUUGAAGCAAAACUGUCGUUGGCUUUUCAAGGCAAAACAAAUUCAAUUAUUGGGAUUUUGAGACCGCUUACUGUUUUUCUAGAGUUGUUUUAAGGUCUAGCAUUAUCACUGCAUUUUGCCGAUAUCUUUCUUUUGUUCUUUUUUUUUUUUUUCCUUGUUAUUGCAAACAUCACAAAAGUAUGUUUCUACUUUUUCCACCCCCAUCCCUCUUAUUUCUUUACUUCUGCUUUUCCUCUGCUCUUUUAAUCUUCCUUCUCUCCUUGUGUGUUUUCUAUUCUUUCAUUUGCUCUGUCCUCUUCUUCCCCUCCCUUUUUCUUUUCACCAUGUAAGCUC
ensembl:lncRNA